AACGAACGCUGGCGGCAUGCCUAACACAUGCAAGUCGAGCGCCCGUAGCGAUACGGGAGCGGCGCACGGGUGAGUAACGCGUGGGAACCUGCCCUUAGGUUCGGGACAACCGCGGGAAACUGCGGCUGAUACCGGAUGAAGUCCCCGAUAGAGAUAUUGGGGCCCAAAGAUUUAUCGCCUUUGGAGGGGCCCGCGUCGGAUUAGGUAGUUGGUGGGGUAACGGCUCACCAAGCCUGUGAUCCGUAGCUGGUCUGAGAGGAUGAUCAGCCACACUGGGACUGAGACACGGCCCAGACUCCUACGGGAGGCAGCAGUGGGGAGUAUUGGACAAUGGGGGCAACCCUGAUCCAGCAAUGCCGCGUGGGUGAUGAAGGCCUUCGGGUUGUAAAGCCCUUUCGGCGGGGACGAUGAUGACGGUACCCGCAGAAGAAGCCCCGGCUAACUUCGUGCCAGCCGCCGCGGUAAAAC
rnacentral:rRNA from 1 species